rnacentral:rRNA from 1 species
CCUACGGGUGGCAGCAGUAGGGAAUUUUCGGCAAUGGGGGGAACCCUGACCGAGCAACGCCGCGUGAACGAAGAAGUUAUUCGUAAUGUACAGUUCUUUUAACAGGGAAGAAAGAGAAAUUUGACGGUACCUGAAGAAUAAGCUCCGGCUAACUACGUGCAAGCAGCCGCGGUAAUACGUAGGAAGCGAGCGUUAUCCGGAAUGAUUGGGCGUAAAGGGUGCGUAGAGGGCAUAGUAAGUCUUUUGUAAAAAUGCUGGGCUCAACCCAGUAGGGCAAAAGAUACUGCAAAGCUAGAGUAUGACAGAGGGAAGUUGAACGACAUGGGUAGCGGUAAAAUGCGUUAAUUUAUGUAAGAACACCAGGGGCGAAGGCGGGUUGCUGGGUCGAUACUGACAUUGAGGCACGAAAGCGUGGGGAGCAAACAGGAUUAGAUACCCUGGUAGUC